rnacentral:rRNA from 1 species
UACGUAGGGUGCAAGCGUUGUCCGGAAUUAUUGGGCGUAAAGAGCGUGUAGGCGGCCCGAUUAGUCCGCUGUGAAAGUCCAGGGCUCAACCCUGGAAUGCCGGUGGAUACUGUCGGGCUAGAGUCCGGAAGGGGCGAGUGGAAUUCCUGGUGUAGCGGUGAAAUGCGCAGAUAUCAGGAGGAACACCGGUGGCGAAGGCGGUUCUCUGGGCCUGUACUGACGCUGAGGAACGAAAGCGUGGGGAGCGAACAGG